UACAGAGGUCUCAAGCGUUGUUCGGAUUCAUUGGGCGUAAAGGGUGCGUAGGCGGCGCGGUAAGUCGGGUGUGAAAUCUCGGAGCUUAACUCCGAAACUGCAUUCGAUACUGCCGUGCUUGAGGACUGGAGAGGAGACUGGAAUUUACGGUGUAGCGGUGAAAUGCGUAGAUAUCGUAAGGAAGACCAGUGGCGAAGGCGGGUCUCUGGACAGUUCCUGACACUGAGGCGCGACAGCGUGGGGAGCAAACAGG
rnacentral:rRNA from 1 species